GAUGAACGCUAGCGGCAGGCCUAAUACAUGCAAGUCGAACGGGAUCUGAGGGUAGCUUGCUACCCGAUUUGAGAGUGGCGCACGGGUGCGUAACGCGUGAGCAACCUACCCAUAUCAGGGGGAUAGCCCGGAGAAAUUCGGAUUAAUACCGCAUAAGAAUGUAUUAACACAUGUUAAAGCAUUUAAAUAUUUAUAGGAUAUGGAUGGGCUCGCGUGACAUUAGCUAGUUGGUGAGGUAACGGCUCACCAAGGCGACGAUGUCUAGGGGCUCUGAGAGGAGAAUCCCCCACACUGGUACGGAGACACGGACCAGACUCCUACGGGAGGCAGCAGUAAGGAAUAUUUGUCAAUGGGCGAAAGCCUGAACCAGCCAUGCCGCGUGCAGGAUGACUGCCCUAUGGGUUGUAAACUGCUUUUGUCGAGGAAUAAACCUAUCUACGUGUAGCUAGUUGAACGUACUCGAAGAAUAAGGAUCGGCUAACUCCGUGCCAGCCGCCGCGGUAA
rnacentral:rRNA from 1 species